rnacentral:rRNA from 1 species
UUAUGGCUCAGGAUGAACGCUGGCGGCGUGCCUAAUACAUGCAAGUCGAACGGUUUCGAGCGAUCGAGAUAGUGGCGAACGGGUGAGUAACGCGUUGGUAACCUGCCCCGGAGAGAGGGAUAACAGGCCGAAAGGCUUGCUAAUACCGCAUGAGCAGUAGAGGAAUAGCAGCUUUACUGUAAAGGAGUAAUCCGCUCUGGGAGGGGCCUGCGACCCAUCAGCUAGUUGGUAAGGUAACGGCCUACCAAGGCGAUGACGGGUAGGGGACCUGAGAGGGUGGCCCCCCACAAUGGAACUGAAACACGGUCCAUACACCUACGGGUGGCAGCAGUAGGGAAUAUUGCAUAAUGGGCGAAAGCCUGAUGCCAGCAACGCCGCGUGUGCGAUGAAGGCCUUCGGGUUGUAAAGCACUUUUGGCUGGGAAGAGGAAGGACGGUACCAGUCGAAGAAGCCUCGGCUAACUACGUGCCAGCCGCUGC